rnacentral:rRNA from 1 species
UACGUAGGGUGCAAGCGUUAAUCGGAAUUACUGGGCGUAAAGCGCACGUAGGCGGCUUUGUAAGUUAGAGGUGAAAGCCCGGGGCUCAACCCCGGAAUUGCCUUUAAGACUGCAUCGCUUGAAUCCGGGAGAGGUGAGUGGAAUUCCGAGUGUAGAGGUGAAAUUCGUAGAUAUUCGGAAGAACACCAGUGGCGAAGGCGGCUCACUGGACCGGUAUUGACGCUGAGGUGCGAAAGCGUGGGGAGCAAACAGG